UACGAAGGGGGCUAGCGUUGCUCGGAAUUACUGGGCGUAAAGCGCACGUAGGCGGCUUUCUAAGUCGGGGGGUGAAAUCCUGGAGCUCAACUCCAGAACUGCCUUUAAGACUGCAUCGCUUGAACACGGGAGAGGUGAGUGGAAUUCCGAGUGUAGAGGUGAAAUGCGCAGAUAUCAGGAGGAACACCAAUGGCGAAGGCAGCUCGCUGGGACGGUACUGACGCUGAGACGCGAAAGCCAGGGGAGCGAACGGG
rnacentral:rRNA from 1 species